rnacentral:rRNA from 1 species
UACGUAGGAGACGAGCGUUGUCCGGAGUUACUGGGCGUAAAGGGCGCGUAGGCGGCUCAUGAAGGCUGUGGUGAAAGUCCGGGGCUCAACCUCGGAUCGGCCGUGGCGACUCGUGGGCUGGAGCACUGUAGAGGCGGGUGGAAUUCCGGGUGUAGCGGUGGAAUGCGUAGAGAUCCGGAAGAACACCAGUGGCGAAGGCGGCCCGCUGGGCAGUGGCUGACGCUGAGGCGCGACAGCGUGGGGAGCAAACAGG